GGGCUCGUGGCGCAGAUCGGUAGCGCAGCAGGCUUUUAUCUUGCUUCGGGGACUGGCCGCGGGUUCAAAUCCCGCCGAGCCCG
rnacentral:tRNA from 1 species